rnacentral:rRNA from 1 species
UACGUAGGGUGCAAGCGUUGUUCGGAAUCAUUGGGCGUAAAGCGCGUGUAGGUGGUUUGUUAAGUCGGGUGUGAAAUCCCUGGGCUCAACCGAGGAAGUGCAUCCGAAACUAACAAGCUAGAAGAUGGCAGAGGAAGGUGGAAUUCCUAGUGUAGAGGUGAAAUUCGUAGAUAUUAGGAGGAAUACCGGUGGCGAAGGCGGCCUUCUGGACCAUUCUUGACACUGAGACGCGAAAGCGUGGGUAGCAAACAGG